AGCAGUCGCCGCGGUAAUACGGAGGGUGCAAGCGUUAAUCGGAAUUACUGGGCGUAAAGCGCACGCAGGCGGUCUGACAAGUCAGAUGUGAAAUCCCCGGGCUUAACCUGGGAACUGCAUUUGAAACUGUCAGGCUGGAGUCUUGUAGAGGGGGGUAGAAUUCCAGGUGUAGCGGUGAAAUGCGUAGAGAUCUGGAGGAAUACCGGUGGCGAAGGCGGCCCCCUGGACAAAGACUGACGCUCAGGUGCGAAAGCGUGGGGAGCAAACAGGAUUAGAUACCCGGUAGUCCCUGUCUCUUAUACA
rnacentral:rRNA from 1 species